rnacentral:rRNA from 1 species
ACCGGCUAACUCCGUGCCAGCAGCCGCGGUAAUACGGAGGGUGCAAGCGUUAUCCGGAUUCACUGGGUUUAAAGGGUGCGUAGGCGGGNNGGUAAGUCAGUGGUGAAAUCUCCGAGCUUAACUCGGAAACUGCCNUUGAUACUNUUUGUCUUGAAUAUUGUGGAGGUNAGCGGAAUAUGUCAUGUAGCGGUGAAAUGCUUAGAUAUGACAUAGAACACCAAUUGCGAAGGCAGCUUACUACNCANUUAUUGACGCUGAGGCACGAAAGCGUGGGGAUCAAACAGGAUUAGAUACCCUGGUAGUCCACGCCCUAAACGAUGA